rnacentral:tRNA from 1 species
GCCUCCGUGGCCUAAUGGAUAUGGUAUCGGCUUCCUAAGCCGAGGAUUGCGGGUUUGAGACCCGCCGGAGGUU